UACGUAGGGGGCAAGCGUUGUCCGGAUUUAUUGGGCGUAAAGAGCGUGUAGGCGGCUAGAUAGGUCCGUUGUGAAAACUCGAGCUCAACCUCGAGACGCCGGUGGAAACCAUCUAGCUAGAGUCCGGAAGAGGAGAGUGGAAUUCCUGGUGUAGCGGUGAAAUGCGCAGAUAUCAGGAAGAACACCCGUGGCGAAGACGGCUCUCUGGUACGUGACUGACGCUGAGACGCGAAAGCGUGGGGAGCGAACAGG
rnacentral:rRNA from 1 species